AACUUAGCGCAGCGGCGAUAUCGUAAUCGUAAGCAAUGAGGUUUAUCCAAAAUGCGAUAAUUGCUAGUUGAAAACCUAGCUAGAUAUUACAUAUAAUUAUUUCGAAAAUGGGAAAAUUUUCAAAGAAGAAUAGU
rfam:Asian citrus Psyllid, Diaphorina citri - Florida Strain, whole genome shotgun sequence.